GAGUUUGAUCCUGGCUCAGGAUGAACGCUAGCGGCAGGCCUAAUACAUGCAAGUCGUGGGGUAACAGGAAAGCUUGCUUUCGCUGACGACCGGCAAACGGGUGCGUAACACGUAUGCAACUUUCCUCUAACAGGGACAUAGCCAUGAGAAAUUAUGAUUAAUAUCCCAUAGUAUCCUUAACUCGCAUGGGUUGAGGAUUAAAUGCUCCGGCGGUUAGAGAUAGGCAUGCGGCCCAUUAGUUAGUUGGUGAGGUAACGGCUCACCAAGACCGCGAUGGGUAGGGGGCGUGAGAGCGUGGCCCCCCACACGGGCACUGAGACACGGGCCCGACUCCUACGGGAGGCAGCAGUAGGGAAUAUUGGGCAAUGGACGCAAGUCUGACCCAGCCAUGCCGCGUGGAGGAUGACAGCCUUAGGGUUGUAAACUCCUUUUAUAUGGAAAGAACAGCAUCCUUUUUAGGAUGUUUGACGGUACCUUAUGAAUAAGCACCGGCUAACUCCGUGCCAGCAGCCGCGGUAAUACGGAGGGUGCAAGCGUUAUCCGGAUUCACUGGGUUUAAAGGGUGCGUAGGCGGAUUAAUAAGUCAGAGGUGAAAGCCCGGAGCUCAACUUCGGAAUUGCCUCUGAUACUGUUGAUCUUGAGUUUGGUUGAUGUGGGCGGAAUAUGUCAUGUAGCGGUGAAAUGCGUAGAUAUGACAUAGAACACCAAUUGCGAAGGCAGCUCACUAAGCCAAUACUGACGCUGAGGCACGAAAGCGUGGGGAGCGAACAGGAUUAGAUACCCUGGUAGUCCACGCCGUAAACUAUGAUUACUCGAUUUAUAUACUUUUGUAUGUGAGUCCAAGCGAAAGCGUUAAGUAAUCCACCUGGGAAGUACGGUCGCAAGACUGAAACUCAAAGGAAUUGGCGGGGGUCCGCACAAGCGGUGGAGCAUGUGGUUUAAUUCGAUGAUAAGCGAGGAACCUUACCUGGGCUCUAAUGUAUGUGGACAGUCUCCGAAAAGAGAUUUCCCUUCGGGGUCGCAUACAAGGUGCUGCAUGGUUGUCGUCAGCUCGUGCCGUGAGGUGUUGGGUUAAGUCCCGCAACGAGCGCAACCCUUACCCUUAGUUACCAGCAUUAAGUUGGGGACUCUAAGGGAACUGCCUACGCAAGUAGGAGGAAGGUGGGGACGACGUCAAAUCAUCAUGGCCUUUAUGCCCAGGGCUACACACGUGCUACAAUGGUCAGUACAAAGGGUCGCUACCUGGCAACAGGAUGCCAAUCCCUAAAAGCUGAUCUCAGUUCGGAUUGGAGUCUGCAACUCGACUCCAUGAAGCUGGAAUCGCUAGUAAUCGCGUAUCAGCAAUGGCGCGGUGAAUACGUUCCCGGACCUUGCACUCACCGCCCGUC
rnacentral:rRNA from 1 species